rnacentral:rRNA from 1 species
GAUGAACGCUGGCGGCGUGCCUAAUACAUGCAAGUCGAGCGAACGGACGAGAAGCUUGCUUCUCUGAUGUUAGCGGCGGACGGGUGAGUAACACGUGGAUAACCUACCUAUAAGACUGGGAUAACUUCGGGAAACCGGAGCUAAUACCGGAUAAUAUUCUGAACCGCAUGGUUCAAAAGUGAAAGACGGUCUUGCUGUCACUUAUAGAUGGAUCCGCGCUGCAUUAGCUAGUUGGUAAGGUCACGGCUUACCACGGCAACGAUGCAUAGCCGACCUGAGAGGGUGAUCGGCCGCACUGGAACUGAGACACGGUCAAGGGUCCUACGGGAGGCAGCAGUAGGGAAUGUUACGCAAUGGGCGGAAGCCUGACGGAGCAACGCCGCGUGAGUGAUAGAGGUCUUCGGAUCGUGAAACUGUGUUAUUAGGGAAGAACAUAUGUGUAAGUAACUGUGCACAGAUUGACGGUACCUAAUAAGAAAGCCACGGCUAACUACGUG